UAGUAACGGCGAGUGAAGCGGCAACAGCUCAAAUUUGAAAUCUGGCGCAAGCCCGAGUUGUAAUUUGUAGAGGAUGCUUCUGGGUAGCGGCCGGUCUAAGUUCCUUGGAACAGGACGUCAUAGAGGGUGAGAAUCCCGUAUGUGACUGGCUUGCACCCUCCACGUAGCUCCUUCGACGAGUCGAGUUGUUUGGGAAUGCAGCUCUAAAUGGGAGGUAAAUUUCUUCUAAAGCUAAAUACCGGCCAGAGACCGAUAGCGCACAAGUAGAGUGAUCGAAAGAUGAAAAGCACUUUGGAAAGAGAGUUAAAAAGCACGUGAAAUUGUUGAAAGGGAAGCGCCCGCAACCAGACUUUGCGGCAGUGUUCGGCCGGUCUUCUGACCGGUUUACUCGCUGUCGUGAGGCCAUCAUCGUCUGGGACCGCUGGAUAAGACCUUAGGAAUGUGGCUCCCCUCGGGGAGUGUUAUAGCCUCUGGUGAUGCAGCGCGUCUCGGGCGAGGUCCGCGCUUCGGCAAGGAUGAUGGCGUAAUGGUUGUCGGCGGCCCGUCUUGAAACACGGACCAAGGAGUCUAACAUCUAUGCGAGUGUUCGGGUGUCAAACCCCUACGCGUAAUGAAAGUGAACGGAGGUGGGAACUUUUUGUGCACCAUCGACCGAUCCUGAUGUCCUCGGAUGGAUUUGAGUAAGAGCAUAGCUGUUGGGACCCGAAAGAUGGUGAACUAUGCCUGAAUAGGGUGAAGCCAGAGGAAACUCUGGUGGAGGCUCGCAGCGGUUCUGACGUGCAAAUCGAUCGUCAAAUUUGGGUAUA
rnacentral:rRNA from 1 species